rnacentral:rRNA from 1 species
UACGGAGGACCCGAGCGUUAUCCGGAUUCAUUGGGUUUAAAGGGUGCGUAGGCGUCCCGGUUAGUUUUCGGUGAAAUCCUCAAGCUUAACUUGAGAACUGCCGAGAAUACUGCCGGGAUUGAGUACAGUUGAGGUGGGCGGAAUGUGUCGUGUAGCGGUGAAAUGCUUAGAUAUGACACAGAACACCGAUUGCGAAGGCAGCUCGCUAAACUGUAACUGACGCUGAGGCACGAAAGCGUGGGUAGCAAACAGG